CCCCCGGUAGCUCAGUUUUGGUAGUAGCGCCUGCUUGAAGCACAGGAGGUCAUCCGUUCAAUCCGGAUCUGGGGGA
rnacentral:tRNA from 5 species